rnacentral:rRNA from 1 species
AACUGAAACAUCUAAGUACCCCGAGGAAAAGAAAUCAACCGAGAUUCCCCCAGUAGCGGCGAGCGAACGGGGAGCAGCCCAGAGCCUGAAUCAGUGUGUGUGUUAGUGGAAGCGUCUGGAAAGGCGCGCGAUACAGGGUGACAGCCCCGUACACAAAAAUGCACAUGCUGUGAGCUCGAUGAGUAGGGCGGGACACGUGGUAUCCUGUCUGAAUAUGGGGGGACCAUCCUCCAAGGCUAAAUACUCCUGACUGACCGAUAGUGAACCAGUACCGUGAGGGAAAGGCGAAAAGAACCCCGGCGAGGGGAGUGAAAAAGAACCUGAAACCGUGUACGUACAAGCAGUGGGAGCACAGAGCAAUCUGUGUGACUGCGUACCUUUUGUAUAAUGGGUCAGCGACUUAUAUUCUGUAGCAAGGUUAACCGAAUAGGGGAGCCGAAGGGAAACCGAGUCUUAACUGGGCGUUAAGUUGCAGGGUAUAGACCCGAAACCCGGUGAUCUAGCCAUGGGCAGGUUGAAGGUUGGGUAACACUAACUGGAGGACCGAACCGACUAAUGUUGAAAAAUUAGCGGAUGACUUGUGGCUGGGGGUGAAAGGCCAAUCAAACCGGGAGAUAGCUGGUUCUCCCCGAAAGCUAUUUAGGUAGCGCCUCGUGAAUUCAUCUCCGGGGGUAGAGCACUGUUUCGGCAAGGGGGUCAUCCCGACUUACCAACCCGAUGCAAACUGCGAAUACCGGAGAAUGUUAUCACGGGAGACACACGGCGGGUGCUAACGUCCGUCGUGAAGAGGGAAACAACCCAGACCGCCAGCUAAGGUCCCAAAGUCAUGGUUAAGUGGGAAACGAUGUGGGAAGGCCCAGACAGCCAGGAUGUUGGCUUAGAAGCAGCCAUCAUUUAAAGAAAGCGUAAUAGCUCACUGGUCGAGUCGGCCUGCGCGGAAGAUGUAACGGGGCUAAACCAUGCACCGAAGCUGCGGCAGCGACGCUUAUGCGUUGUUGGGUAGGGGAGCGUUCUGUAAGCCUGUGAAGGUGUACUGUGAGGUAUGCUGGAGGUAUCAGAAGUGCGAAUGCUGACAUAAGUAACGAUAAAGCGGGUGAAAAGCCCGCUCGCCGGAAGACCAAGGGUUCCUGUCCAACGUUAAUCGGGGCAGGGUGAGUCGACCCCUAAGGCGAGGCCGAAAGGCGUAGUCGAUGGGAAACAGGUUAAUAUUCCUGUACUUGGUGUUACUGCGAAGGGGGGACGGAGAAGGCUAUGUUGGCCGGGCGACGGUUGUCCCGGUUUAAGCGUGUAGGCUGGUUUUCCAGGCAAAUCCGGAAAAUCAAGGCUGAGGCGUGAUGACGAGGCACUACGGUGCUGAAGCAACAAAUGCCCUGCUUCCAGGAAAAGCCUCUAAGCAUCAGGUAACAUCAAAUCGUACCCCAAACCGACACAGGUGGUCAGGUAGAGAAUACCAAGGCGCUUGAGAGAACUCGGGUGAAGGAACUAGGCAAAAUGGUGCCGUAACUUCGGGAGAAGGCACGCUGAUAUGUAGGUGAAGUCCCUCGCGGAUGGAGCUGAAAUCAGUCGAAGAUACCAGCUGGCUGCAACUGUUUAUUAAAAACACAGCACUGUGCAAACACGAAAGUGGACGUAUACGGUGUGACGCCUGCCCGGUGCCGGAAGGU